rnacentral:rRNA from 1 species
GUAGGUGAACCUGCGGAAGGAUCAUUACCGAGUGAGGGCCCUCUGGGUCCAACCUCCCACCCGUGUUUAUCGUACCUUGUUGCUUCGGCGGGCCCGCCUCACGGCCGCCGGGGGGCAUCCGCCCCCGGGCCCGCGCCCGCCGAAGACACCAAUGAACUCUUGUCUGAAGAUUGCAGUCUGAGCAGAUUAGCUAAAUCAGUUAAAACUUUCAACAACGGAUCUCUUGGUUCCGGCAUCGAUGAAGAACGCAGCGAAAUGCGAUAAGUAAUGUGAAUUGCAGAAUUCAGUGAAUCAUCGAGUCUUUGAACGCACAUUGCGCCCCCUGGUAUUCCGGGGGGCAUGCCUGUCCGAGCGUCAUUGCUGCCCUCAAGCACGGCUUGUGUGUUGGGCUUCGCCCCCCGGCUCCCGGGGGGCGGGCCCGAAAGGCAGCGGCGGCACCGCGUCCGGUCCUCGAGCGUAUGGGGCUUUGUCACCCGCUCUGUAGGCCCGGCCGGCGCCCGCCGGCGACCCCAAAUCAAUCUAUCCAGGUUGACCUCGGAUCAGGUAGGGAUACCCGCUGAACUUAAGCAUAUCAAUAAGCGGAGGAA